rnacentral:rRNA from 1 species
UGGGACUGAGACACGGCCCAAACUCCUACGGGAGGCAGCAGUGGGGAAUAUUGCACAAUGGGGGAAACCCUGAUGCAGCAACGCCGCGUGAGUGAAGAAGUAUUUCGGUAUGUAAAGCUCUAUCAGCAGGAAAGAAAUGACGGUACCUGACUAAGAAGCCCCGGCUAACUACGUGCCAGCAGCCGCGGUAAUACGUAGGGGGCAAGCGUUAUCCGGAUUUACUGGGUGUAAAGGGAGCGUAGACGGUUUUGCAAGUCUGAAGUGAAAGCCCGGGGCUUAACCCCGGGACUGCUUUGGAAACUGUAGGACUAGAGUGCAGGAGAGGUAAGUGGAAUUCCUAGUGUAGCGGUGAAAUGCGUAGAUAUUAGGAGGAACACCAGUGGCGAAGGCGGCUUACUGGACUGUAACUGACGUUGAGGCUCGAAAGCGUGAGGAGCAAACAGGAUUAGAUACCCUGGUAGUCCACGCCGUANACGAUGAUUACUAGGUGUUGGUGGG